rnacentral:lncRNA from 1 species
GUCAAUAGUUGGACUUACAUUAAAAAUAAAAGGAUUAAAUUCUAAUUAUACGAAAAUUACAGCAACCUAAGCAUAUUUUUGACUAAUUAUAAAAUAUAUAAAAACUGAUACAAUAUGUUAAUAAAAAAUUAGUAAAAAGACACCUUCAAAGAAAAUAGUAAAAAAAGAUAUAAAUAUCGAUUUUCUAUUACUAAAUUCACAAACCAAAAAAAAAGAAAAAAAAAAGUGAACAUAAUUCCUUAUAUCAUCGGCCGGCUGGAGAUUUCACGGCGACAGAGAGGACAAGAAUUGCCGUUUCCGUUCAAAAGCCAACCAGUAAUACAGUUAUGAUGAUAAACACGACAACCGACGACAUAUCGGAAACCAGACCGGCGACUUCUUCUUGCCUGGCUUGAGGAUUUUCCGGCACCGUUGUUGCUUCGUCGAGAUCGAAUUGUUGAGUGAUGUAAUAAGGGAUUAUUAAAGAAUUAUUAUUGUUGCCCAAAACGACGCCGUCAACUUUACUGAUCCACUCGCCAUGUAUUUUUUGUCUUUUUUAAACUAGAGAUGAGUUUUCAUGUAUGAAAAUGCAUUAUCUUUAUAUAUAAAGGGACUUGCACUUUUCCAUUAAAUUAGACCCCACCAAUUGGG